CCUACGGGUGGCUGCAGUGGGGAAUAUUGGACAAUGGGCGAAAGCCUGAUCCAGCCAUGCCGCGUGUGUGAAGAAGGCCUUCGGGUUGUAAAGCACUUUCAGUGGGGAAGAAAGCCUUGGGGCUAAUACCCUCGAGGAAGGACAUCACCCACAGAAGAAGCACCGGCUAACUCCGUGCCAGCAGCCGCGGUAAUACGGAGGGUGCGAGCGUUAAUCGGAAUUAAUGGGCGUAAAGCGCGCGUAGGCGGUCUGAUAAGCCGGUUGUGAAAGCCCCGGGCUCAACCUGGGAACGGCAUCCGGAACUGUCAGGAUAGAGUGGAGGAGAGGAAGGUAGAAUUCCCGGUGUAGCGGUGAAAUGCGUAGAGUUCGGGAGGAAUACCAGUGGCGAAGGCGGCCUUCUGGACUGACACUGACGCUGAGGUGCGAAAGCGUGGGUAGCAAACAGGAUUAGCUACCCGGGUAGUC
rnacentral:rRNA from 1 species